AAUUGAGACAUUGAGGUUGAAAACUCGAUACUCUGUUGACGCUACGAUGUAAGUGUAUGACCGGACACUAUAUAAAUUUCCGAGAAUGUUACCCCCAUUGAGUAAUAUUGAUUAUUUGAGAAAAAGCUAUGCAUAGACUCUUGGGGAUGCACGUCGGGGGACAGUCUAAGUACAAUUCAGACUUGUCGGGUUGGCUGGAUAACCGA